GACGUAGGGUGCGAGCGUUGUCCGGAUUUAUUGGGCGUAAAGAGCUCGUAGGCGGCUCGUCGCGUCGACCGUGAAAACCCGCGGCUUAACUGCGGGCUUGCGGUUGAUACGGGCGGGCUAGAGUUCGGUAGGGGAGACUGGAAUUCCUGGUGUAGCGGUGAAAUGCGCAGAUAUCUGGAGGAACACCGGUGGCGAAGGCGGCAUCCUGGACCGACACUGACGCUGAGGAGCGAAAGCCAGGGGAGCAAACGGG
rnacentral:rRNA from 1 species